rnacentral:rRNA from 1 species
UUGCUCUUCAACGAGGAAUCCCUAGUAAGCGCAAGUCAUCAGCUUGCGUUGAUUACGUCCCUGCCCUUUGUACACACCGCCCGUCGCUACUACCGAUUGAAUGGCUCAGUGAGGCUUCCGGACUGGCCCAGGGAGGCCGGCAACGGCCACCCAGGGCCGGAAAGCUAUCCAAACUCGGUCAUUUAGAGGAAGUAAAAGUCGUAACAAGGUCUCCGUUGGUGAACCAGCGGAGGGAUCAUUACAGGACGUCAUACUCCCGUAAUACCACUGUGAAUCUUACCUACCGUCGUUGCCUCGGCGGGCGCUCCGCGCGCCCGCCGGCGGCCCGCAUACUCUGUCUCAGCGUGUUGGCAUCUCCGAGUAUUAUACAAACGAGUCAAAACUUUCAACAACGGAUCUCUUGGUUCUGGCAUCGAUGAAGAACGCAGCGAAAUGCGAUAAGUAAUGUGAAUUGCAGAAUUCAGUGAAUCAUCGAAUCUUUGAACGCACAUUGCGCCCGCCAGCAUCCUGGCGGGCAUGCCUGUUCGAGCGUCAUUUCAACCCUCAAGCCCCCGCGGCUUGGUGUUGGGGGCCUGCGCACCGCAGCCCCCUAAAGACAGCGGCGGGCGUGGCCUGGCACCGAACGUAGUAGACUCUCUCUCGUUCGCGGUCCAGGGCGCGCUCCGGCCGGUAAACCCCCAUAUUUUAACAAUGGUUGACCUCGGAUCAGGUAGGAAUACCCGCUGAACUUAAGCAUAUCAAUAAGCGGAGGA